rnacentral:rRNA from 1 species
GGUACAUAAAAAUUUGAGGGAAUGAUCUUGCUUGAAUAGUCGUACUCAUAACCGCAGCAGGUCUCCAAGGUUAGAAGCCUCUAGUUGGCAGAAUAAUGUAGGUAAGGGAAGUCGGCAAAAUAGAUCUGUAACUUCGGGAAAAAGAUUGGCUCUAAAGGCUGAGUAUAUGGGCUAUAUUUUGAAGUUGUUGGAGAUUAGAUUAUUACGGUUGGCUGUCAUGGUUGAUUGUGAUGGUUUAGUUAAAGAUGAUGGAGGGGUAUAGGUAGACGUCAAAAAUCUAUGCUAUAUACAAUUAACAGCUAAUUUAGAACUGUUACUGACCAGGGGAAUCCGACUGUUUAAUUAAAACAAAAGCAUUGUGAUGUUCUCAAUAAGGAUUUUAACACAAUGUGAUUUUCUGCCCAGUGCUCUGAAUGUCAAAGUGUAAAGAAAUUCAAAACAAGCGCGGUAAACGGCGGAGUAACUAUGACUCUCUUAAGGUAGU